GCCUAAAGCGUCCGUAGCCGGCUUUGUAAGUUUUCGGUUAAAUCCAUAUGCUCAACAUAUGGGCUGCCGGGAAUACUGCACAGCUAGGGAGUGGGAGAGGUAGACGGUACUCCAUAGGAAGGGGUAAAAUCCUUUGAUCUAUGGAAGACCACCUGUGGCGAAGGCGGUCUACCAGAACACGUUCGACGGUGAGGGAUGAAAGCUGGGGGAGCAAACCGGAUUAGAUACCCGGGUAGUCCCAGCUGUAAACUAUGCAAACUCGGUGAUGCACUGGCUUGUGGCCAGUGCAGUGCCGCAGGGAAGCCGUUAAGUUUGCCGCCUGGGAAGUACGUACGCAAGUAUGAAACUUAAAGGAAUUGGCGGGGGAGCACCACAAGGGGUGAAGCCUGCGGUUCAAUUGGAGUCAACGCCAGAAAUCUUACCUGGGGAGACAGCAGAAUGAAGGUCAAGCUGAAGACUUUACCAGACAAGCUGAGAGGUGGUGCAUGGCCGUCGUCAGCUCGUGCCGUGAGAUGUCCUGUUAAGUCAGGUAACGAGCGAGAUCCCUGCUGCUAGUUGCUACCAUUACUCUCCGGAGUAGUGGGGCGAAUUAGCGGGACCGCCGCAGUUAAUGUGGAGGAAGGAAGGGGCCACGGCAGGUCAGUAUGCCCCGAA
rnacentral:rRNA from 1 species